rnacentral:lncRNA from 1 species
UUUCGAAAACUAAAUAACAUAUAAGCAUAGCUUAAAAUAUAAGAUAAGGUCUUCAUGUGGACAGACCAAGAUCAAUCAUCUAGGAGAUAGGAGAAGUAGACUUGUGGCCUCGUUAAAAACCUUCCUUUGGAAAACCCAGUGGGACAAAACCAAAGGUUAGGAAAAGAGCACACACAAGCUACUUGCCUAGAUGAUGAUCAGCUUAAAGGUGGAGUAGCUUGAAUUGUGGUGAGUGUGUCUUGGUUGAUCAAGCUGCAACCAAGACAAUCUUCUUGCUUCCUUGACAUCUUGAGUAUUCCUCCAUCAGCUUCAUUGAGUUUCUUUGAUCUGGAACAAGUGUUGGGACCUUCAGGAAUGGCUAGGGCAUCUUCAUCUACAAGCUGGUCCAUGAUCACAUUUUCUUCAU